GACGGAGAGUGCAAACGUUGUUCGGAUUUACUGGGCGUAGAGGGCACGUAGGCGGCCAGGCAAAUCAGUUGUGGAAUCCCGACGCCUACCGUCGGAACGGCAAUUGAAAAUACCUGGCUCGAGGGCUGGAGGGGUCGCAGGAACUCUUGGUGGAGCGGUGAAAUGCGUAGAUAUCAAGAGGAACGCCGGAGGCGAAAGCGUGCGACUGGCCAGUCCCUGACGCUGAGGUGCGAAAGCUAGGGGAGCAAACAGG
rnacentral:rRNA from 1 species